CCCCUCUCAGGGUUGCACCUGGAGAGUUUCCAGUAUGCAGCCAGUCUCAUCUAUGGGAGGGAGAGUCAAGCAGAGGCCUACCCAUUCUUUUCCUAGCUUGGACAGUGGCUAGUGAGUGGAAGGCAAUCUGCUACAAUG